UGCCCGCCCGAAAAAAAAACGGCGGGUAUAAAUUCCUCGACAUCGCGUUCGUCCGGGGAGCAUUUUAGCCGGUGGCUCUCUCGCUCUCUACGUGGAGCUCUAGAAGGCCCUAGAUCCUUGUCGAUCUUCGGUGGAAGUAUUGCAGGACUUAAGAGGAAAAAUGAGCAGGCGAUCAAGCUGCACGAUUUAUGUUGGUAAUCUACCUGGACAUAUACGCGAAAGGGAGGUUGAGGACCUUUUUUAUAAGUACGGGCCCACUGUUGAUAUUGAUCUAAAAAUACCGCCUAGGCCUCCAGGAUACUGUUUCAUCGAGGUAAUGUGGCACUCAUGGCUAGCUUAUUUGGGACCUCAAACACAGCUUCCGUUACAGCAUAUGGUUUCUUAUUUAGUUGGUAUUGCUCUGUUGCAGUUUGAAAAUGCUCGUGAUGCUGAAGAUGCUAUUCGAGGGCGUGAUGGGUACAAUUUUGAUGGGCAUAGGCUGAGAGUGGAACUUGCUCAUGGUGGUCGACGCCGUUCUUCACCAACUGAUCGCUACAGCAGCUAUAGCAGUAGCAUAGGUGGACGUGGGGGAGUCUCAAGGCGCUCUGAUUACCGGGUCUUGGUUACGGGGUUACCUUCAUCUGCUUCUUGGCAAGAUCUUAAGGAUCAUAUGCGCUGUGCUGGAGAUGUUUGCUUCUCUCAAGUUUUUCGUGAGGGUCGAGGUACAACGGGCAUUGUUGAUUACACAAACUAUGAUGACAUGAAAUAUGCUAUAAGGAAGCUUGAUGAUUCAGAGUUCAGGAAUGCAUUUUCACGUGCUUAUAUAAGGGUACGGGAAUAUGAUUCUCCAAGCCGUAGCCAUAGCGGAUCCUAUUCUAGAAGCAGAAGCAGGAGUCCUGCAAGACGUAGCCUCAGUUACAGCCGGAGCAGGAGCCGGAGUGAGAGCAUGUCUCCAAGAAGAAAAUCUCCAGUGCGAUCUCCAUCUCGUUCGCGAUCAAGGUCUGUCUCAUCACGUUCUCUUUCUGGCUCAAGGCAUCGUUCUGUGUCAAGAUGAGGGCUUGAGCGGGAGGUUGGGGUUGGUGGAAAUGCAUGCUACUCUUUUGGUUGUGGAGGGGUUAAAUGACACGAGGAAUGGAUGGAUGGCAAUACGGAAGUGGAGUUGGGACUUUGCCAAUUUAGGUGUCUUCACGAGGGAUGGAUGGAUAGCAAUACGGAAGUGGACUUGGGACUUGCCAAUUUAGGUGUCUUUCAUCUUCGUGCUAGGAAGGAGUCAAGCUCAGGACUGCCGUCAUACUGGGAGAUGUUCCUGUCUUUUCCUUCUCUUCACUAACUCUGUUGUUUCUCAAAAAAAUGAGUGCGGAUAUUCGUAUGCAGCUGAUUUAUUUACUAACUAGAUCUGUGACUAAGUCUGUUAUUUUGUUUGGUGAAUGCUAACAUAUAUGUUCUGUGACUUCUGUCCUUGUUCAAAUUGUUGAUGAGGCAUCAAGGCUUUUGGAUGAAGGUGCUAAAGCUUCUCUAUUGAUGUUUUAUUUGGUUAUUUUAUGGAACUUUUGCAGAUCAAGAUCCAGGUCACGAUCUCCAUUCACCUCUGCAAGAUCUUACAGGAAGCGAUCUGUUGGUUCAAGAGAUGAUUAAUGUUCUUGAUGGGUAAGAUUUAUUGAACCAGGCUUCAAGUUUGACUUUUGAGUUGAAGGUUGGAGUUUUGAGCAGCAGUUCUUGCAAAUACAUACAGUGGGAAGAUGAUGCAGUUGAAUCUCUCAACUAGGAAAGUUUUUGGAUCCAUGUAUCUCAUACAGUAUUUCAUGGACAGUUGUGUAGGGCUGUUAAAUCAACUAAAUACUGUUUGUUGUUCGUGUAGGUUUGUUUUAUCAACUAAUUACUGUUUGUUCCUAUUCCAUACUUUCAGUGUUGAAUGCUAGAGCAGUUCAUUAUGGUUAUUAUCC